CAGGAAAUAGCAUAUAUAGAA
rnacentral:tRNA from 1 species